rnacentral:rRNA from 1 species
AGGGUUUGAUCAUGGCUCAGAACGAACGCUGGCGGCAGGCCUAACACAUGCAAGUCGAGCGAAGCCUUCGGGUUUAGCGGCGGACGGGUGAGUAACGCGUGGGAAUAUGCCCUUUGGUACGGAACAGUCCCGGGAAACUGGGUUUAAUACCGUAUGUGGUCCUUCGUAGUGGAUACGGGGGACGAAAGAUUUAUCGCCAAAGGAUUAGCCCGCGUUGGAUUAGGUAGUUGGUGGGGUAAUGGCCUACCAAGCCGACGAUCCAUAGCUGGUUUGAGAGGAUGAUCAGCCACACUGGGACUGAGACACGGCCCAGACUCCUACGGGAGGCAGCAGUGGGGAAUCUUAGACAAUGGGGGCAACCCUGAUCUAGCCAUGCCGCGUGAGUGAUGAAGGCCUUAGGGUUGUAAAGCUCUUUCAGCUGGGAAGAUAAUGACGGUACCAGCAGAAGAAGCCCCGGCUAACUCCGUGCCAGCCGCCGCGGUAAUUC